UACGUAGGGGGCAAGCGUUGUCCGGAAUCAUUGGGCGUAAAGAGCGUGUAGGCGGCCCGGUAAGUCCGCUGUAAAAAGUCAAAGGCUCAACCUUUGAAUGUCAGUGGAUACUGCCGGGCUAGAGUCCGGAAGAGGCGAGUGGAACUCCUGGUGUAGCGGUGGAAUGCGCAGAUAUCAGGAAGAACACCAAUGGCGAAAGCAGCUUUCUGGGACGGUACUGACGCUGAGACGCGAAAGCGUGGGGAGCGAACAGG
rnacentral:rRNA from 1 species